rnacentral:rRNA from 1 species
UACGGAGGAUGCAAGCGUUAUCCGGAAUUAUUGGGCGUAAAGCGUCCGCAGGUGGCGAUGUAAGUCUGCUGUUAAAGAGUGAGGCUCAACCUCAUAAGAGCAGUGGAAACUACAUAGCUAGAGUACGGUAGGGGCAGAGGGAAUUCCUGGUGUAGCGGUGAAAUGCGUAGAGAUCAGGAAGAACACCAGUGGCGAAGGCGCUCUGCUAGGCCGUAACUGACACUGAGGGACGAAAGCUAGGGGAGCGAAUGGG